AUUGAACGCUGGCGGCAUGCCUUACACAUGCAAGUCGAACGGCAGCACGGGGGCAGCCCUGGUGGCGAGUGGCGAACGGGUGAGUAAUACAUCGGAACGUGUCCUUUCGUGGGGGAUAACCAGUCGAAAAACUGGCUAAUACCGCAUGAGAUCUCACGAUGAAAGCGAGGGACCGCAAGGCCUCGCGCGAUUGGAGCGGCCGAUGUCGGAUUAGCUAGUUGGCGGGGUAAAAGCCCACCAAGGCGACGAUCCGUAGCUGGUUUGAGAGAACGACCAGCCACACUGGGACUGAGACACGGCCCAGACUCCUACGGGAGGUAGCAGUGGGGAAUUUUGGACAAUGGGCGCAAGCCUGAUCCAGCCAUGCCGCGUGUGUGAAGAAGGCCUUCGGGUUGUAAAGCACUUUCGGCCGGAACGAAAUCGCGCGGGUUAACAGUCCGCGUGGAUGACGGUACCGGAAGAAGAAGCACCGGCUAACUACGUGCCAGCAGCCGCCGUAACAC
rnacentral:rRNA from 1 species